UACGGGGGGAGCAAGCGUUGUUCGGAUUUACUGGGCGUAAAGGGCGCGUAGGCGGCGUGACAAGUCACUUGUGAAAUCUCCGGGCUUAACUCGGAACGGUCAAGUGAUACUGUCGUGCUAGAGUACAGAAGGGGCAACUGGAAUUCUCGGUGUAGCGGUGAAAUGCGUAGAUAUCGAGAGGAACACCUGCGGCGAAGGCGGGUUGCUGGGCUGAUACUGACGCUGAGGCGCGAAAGCUAGGGGAGCAAACGGG
rnacentral:rRNA from 1 species